GGAAACGUUUUGGCUCGACGGCGGUUCGAAAUUUUUUUCGAUGGCGGUGUUUAGAUGGCGGAUUUCCGCCAUCUAAACUAUCCCGCCCAAAAUUUCGAAUGGCCCCCAAUUUCCAGCCCGAUUACCCGAUUAAAUUGACUUAAGAUGGCGGAAAUCCGCCAUCUUAAGUAUUCGGGGACUCGGGCGGAAAAAGCCCGCCCAAAUUUCGAUUGGGCGGACUUUCACUUACCUUACAUGGCGGCACUUAACUGUACUUACAUGGCGGAAAUCCGCCAUGUAAGUUUUGGGGUUUAAUAAAAAACCCCAAAUCGACAGACGCUACUGUCUGUCUUGAAAUCGUUCUCUCCUCUCCCCAAUCGCCGCCGCUGCCAACUGCCUUCGUCGUCGAUCACUUGCCGUCGUCCCCUCGCCGUCGUCAUCCCCUCCCGCCGAUCUUCCUUUCCGUGGUGUGAAGGUAUGUGAUCUUCCAUUUUUUUAUGUUGAUAUUUGUAUUUUAUGAAUUUGUUUUAGAUGAUUAGAUGUUUGGAUGUUUUGGG
rnacentral:lncRNA from 1 species